ensembl:rRNA 5S_rRNA 5S ribosomal RNA
ACAUACACCUAUACCACCCUGAAUAUACCCGUUCUCAUUUGAUCUCGGAAGUAAAGCAGGGUUGGACCUGGUUAGUACUCGGAUGGGAGACUGCCUGGGAAUACCAAGUGCUGUAAGCU